AGCAGAUCGUUUUUGUAUAUUUUCCUUAUAGUUUUCUUAACGAAUCGGAAAAUCAUGUAGGGGUAACAGAAAAAUUUAGAAAGUAUGGGUUCCGUUUUCUUUUUGUUUUUCGAUGAAAUAUAGUUGUUACGGAUGGUUUUUAACACAUUUAUUUGCAGUGCCACAACCACAGACCACGGAGUCCGUGUAUAGUAGGUAGCUAUGUUGGGUCCCAUCCAAGCAUUGUUAUAUUUACACUUUUUGCUCUCGGGCAAUGUAUUGAUGUGGGGAAAAAAUAAUACUGCUUAAUAAUAUACUGCUAAUGGGUGGCGACAUUAUAGGUGGGAAGUCGGGAAGGUAGAAUGCAUUAAGUUAGAUAGAUGUUCAAUUUAUAUCUGUAAGUGACGAUAAACUGUUGCUAUCAAAAUAUAAUAAUUGUAUAUUCUGAUCGAAG